UACGGAGGGUGCAAGCGUUAUCCGGAUUCACUGGGUUUAAAGGGUGCGUAGGCGGGUUGGUAAGUCAGUGGUGAAAUCUUCAAGCUUAACUUGGAACUGCCGUUGAUACUAUCAAUCUUGAAUGUUGUGGAGGUAAGCGGAAUAUGUCAUGUAGCGGUGAAUGCUUAGAUAUGACAUAGAACACCGAUAGCGAAGGCAGCUUGCUACACAAA
rnacentral:rRNA from 1 species